GAUGAACGCUGGCGGCGUGCCUAAUACAUGCAAGUCGAGCGAACAGACGAGGCGCUUGCUCCUCUGACGUUAGCGGCGGACGGGUGAGUAACACGUGGAUACCCUACCUAUAAGACUGAGAUAACUUCGGGAAACCGGAGCUAAUACCGGAUAAUAUAUUGAUCCGCAUGGUUCAAUAGUGAAAGACGGUUUUGCUGUCACUUAUCGCUGGUUCCGGGCCGCAUUAGCUGGUUGUUACGGUCACGGCUUACCAAGGCAACGAUGCGUAGCCGACCUGAUAGGCUGAUCGGCCACACUGGAACUGAGACGCGGUCCAUACUCCUACGGGAGGCAGCAGUAGGGAAUCUGCCGCAAUAGGCGAAAGCAUGACGGAGUAAGCCCGCGUGAGAGAUGAAGGUCUUCGGAGCGGAAAACUCGGUUAUUGGGUAAGAACAAAUGUGUAAGUAACUAUGCACGGAGUGACGGUACCUAAUCAGAAAGCCACGGCUAACUACGUG
rnacentral:rRNA from 1 species